rnacentral:rRNA from 1 species
UACGUAGGGGGCAAGCGUUAUCCGGAUUUACUGGGUGUAAAGGGAGCGUAGACGGCAGGGCAAGUCUGGAGUGAAGGGCAGGGGCCCAACCCCUGGACUGCUCUGGAAACUGUCCGGCUGGAGUGCAGGAGAGGUAAGUGGAAUUCCUAGUGUAGCGGUGAAAUGCGUAGAUAUUAGGAGGAACACCAGUGGCGAAGGCGGCUUACUGGACUGUAACUGACGUUGAGGCUCGAAAGCGUGGGGAGCAAACAGG